CCUACGGGAGGCAGCAGUGGGGAAUAUUGCGCAAUGGGCGAAAGCCUGACGCAGCGACGCCGCGUGGAGGAUGACGGUUUUGGGAUCGUAAACUCCUGUUAGGUGGGAAGAAAAGCCUGUUUCUAAUACAAACAGGUUAUGACGGUACCACCAGAGAAAGCACCGGCUAACUUCGUGCCAGCAGCCGCGGUAAU
rnacentral:rRNA from 1 species